rnacentral:rRNA from 1 species
GGAUGCCUUGGCACUAGAAGCCGAUGAAGGACGUUACUAACGACGAUAUGCUUUGGGGAGCUGUAAGUAAGCUUUGAUCCAGAGAUUUCCGAAUGGGGAAACCCAGCAUGAGUUAUGUCAUGUUAUCGAUAUGUGAAUACAUAGCAUAUCAGAAGGCACACCCGGAGAACUGAAACAUCUUAGUACCCGGAGGAAGAGAAAGAAAAUUCGAUUCCCUUAGUAGCGGCGAGCGAAACGGGAAGAGCCCAAACCAACAAGCUUGCUUGUUGGGGUUGUAGGACACUCUAUACGGAGUUACAAAGGACGACAUUAGACGAAUCAUCUGGAAAGAUGAAUCAAAGAAGGUAAUAAUCCUGUAGUCGAAAAUGUUGUCUCUCUUGAGUGGAUCCUGAGUACGACGGAGCACGUGAAAUUCCGUCGGAAUCUGGGAGGACCAUCUCCUAAGGCUAAAUACUCUCUAGUGACCGAUAGUGAACCAGUACCGUGAGGGAAAGGUGAAAAGCACCCCGGAAGGGGAGUGAAAUAGAACCUGAAACCGUGUGCUUACAAGUAGUCAGAGCCCGUUAAUGGGUGAUGGCGUGCCUUUUGUAGAAUGAACCGGCGAGUUACGAUUUGAUGCAAGGUUAAGCAGUAAAUGUGGAGCCGUAGCGAAAGCGAGUCUGAAUAGGGCGUUUAGUAUUUGGUCGUAGACCCGAAACCAGGUGAUCUACCCUUGGUCAGGUUGAAGUUCAGGUAACACUGAAUGGAGGACCGAACCGACUUACGUUGAAAAGUGAGCGGAUGAACUGAGGGUAGCGGAGAAAUUCCAAUCGAACCUGGAGAUAGCUGGUUCUCUCCGAAAUAGCUUUAGGGCUAGCCUCAAGUGAUGAUUAUUGGAGGUAGAGCACUGUUUGGACGAGGGGCCCCUCUCGGGUUACCGAAUUCAGACAAACUCCGAAUGCCAAUUAAUUUAACUUGGGAGUCAGAACAUGGGUGAUAAGGUCCGUGUUCGAAAGGGAAACAGCCCAGACCACCAGCUAAGGUCCCAAAAUAUAUGUUAAGUGGAAAAGGAUGUGGCGUUGCCCAGACAACUAGGAUGUUGGCUUAGAAGCAGCCAUCAUUUAAAGAGUGCGUAAUAGCUCACUAGUCGAGUGACACUGCGCCGAAAAUGUACCGGGGCUAAACAUAUUACCGAAGCUGUGGAUUGUCCUUUGGACAAUGGUAGGAGAGCGUUCUAAGGGCGUUGAAGCAUGAUCGUAAGGACAUGUGGAGCGCUUAGAAGUGAGAAUGCCGGUGUGAGUAGCGAAAGACGGGUGAGAAUCCCGUCCACCGAUUGACUAAGGUUUCCAGAGGAAGGCUCGUCCGCUCUGGGUUAGUCGGGUCCUAAGCUGAGGCCGACAGGCGUAGGCGAUGGAUAACAGGUUGAUAUUCCUGUACCACCUAUAAUCGUUUUAAUCGAUGGGGGGACGCAGUAGGAUAGGCGAAGCGUGCGAUUGGAUUGCACGUCUAAGCAGUAAGGCUGAGUAUUAGGCAAAUCCGGUACUCGUUAAGGCUGAGCUGUGAUGGGGAGAAGACAUUG